GCAAAUUGUCUCAGAGUACUACUCUCUACGUCAUACUAAAAGUUAAUUGAAAGGGGAACAAUCCCUUUAAUAGCACAGGCCUUUUCUUUGCAUACUUCCAUUUGUAGUCAUGGAGGAGAUUUCUUCUGUCAGACUUCCAGCCAAUUUCAUCAGUAUUGGGACCACUGUUAAUGGGGCCAAUAUAUCAUCCAUCAAUAAUUUGUAUCAAGCAGUCACAACCUUCAUUUUAGAUUUAACAAAAGCCUUUUUUUUUUAUUCUGCACUGGAAUUAACAGUUGCAAAUUAAAUGCAAUGAUCAAUGCUACAGAGAUGUAUUAGUGGUCAGUGCUGUUGCUGGGUUGCACGGAGCUCUAACACCCCAUUGAAUAGGGCCAGAACUUGGGGUAGGUACAAGAGGCAGGUGCUUAAGGCAAGGGGGUUCAAUAUGCCCUAUAAAAAAAUAAUUGCACCAGCUCCAUCUCCCUCUGGUCAAAUCCAUAAGCAUUACCCAAGCUGUGCAUUGAAUUAUGCUUUUAUAAAAUGGAUGGGCAAGGGAGAAUAUAAAAUAUGUAAUAUAUUGGUGGCUAGUUUUACAGUUAUAACAGAGGAGAAAUUUCCCAGCAUCUACAGUGAAUUCUAUGGUUGUUUUUAUGGUUUACUGGAUACAGUAAAUGAAUGGCAGUUGGAGAUGGCCGUUUGAUAUCUCUGCUUUUUGCUUAGUUGUGUGUUGACGUUUCCCAGCAUGCAUUGCUUAAAUGAGCCUGCCUAGUAUACUUUUUAAGCACAGUGGGAUUUUUAUCUGAAAUCCACUCUAAAAUAACAUUGCGGAAGACUCCUUAUGUUUUUCAGAUGCAAACCUUAGAAUGAAGAAGGAGCGCGCGGGGCCUGUGAUCUCCAGCAGAUUAACCUCCCAUCUGAGCAACGUUCACUCCACUGCAAGGACUUUACCCGGAGAUGAUUGAAUCUUUGCCUGGAACCUGAUGGUAAUGUGGGGCUCUGAGAACCCGAUGUGGCCCUCUGGUGGUCGUCGCAGGACAAUUUAACCUCUGACCAUGUCAGGGAAAAUCAGCUGCUCUGCACUAUCGGGCUGGAGAAUCCAAAGCUGCUUAUCCCUGCAACUGUGCAAAGAUCUGUAACUCCCAUCACCCCUUAUUGACCGGCUUCAAAUAAAAAGGUGCUGUGUUCAGAACUA